rnacentral:rRNA from 1 species
GAUAGGGUAAGCGCGGUAUUGGAUAUCCGCGUCCAAGCAGUUAGGCUGGGAAAUAGGCAAAUCCGUUUCCCAUAAGGCUGAGCUGUGAUGGCGAGCGAAAUAUAGUAGCGAAGUUCCUGAUUCCACACUGCCAAGAAAAGCCUCUAGCGAGGUGAGAGGUGCCCGUACCGCAAACCGACACAGGUAGGCGAGGAGAGAAUCCUAAGGUGAUCGAGAGAACUCUCGUUAAGGAACUCGGCAAAAUGACCCCGUAACUUCGGGGGAAGGGGUGCUCUGUUAGGGUGCAAGCCCGAGAGAGCCGCAGUGAAUAGGCCCAGGCGACUGUUUAGCAAAAACACAGGUCUCUGCGAAGCCGUAAGGCGAAGUAUAGGGGCUGACGCCUGCCCGGUGCUGGAAGGUUAAGAGGAGCGCUUAGCGUAAGCGAAGGUGCGAAUUGAAGCCCCAGUAAACGGCGGCCGUAACAAUAACGGUCCUAAGGUAGCGAAAUUCCUUGUCGGGUAAGUUCCGACCCGCACGAAAGGCGCAACGAUCUGGGCACUGUCUCAACGAGAGACUCGGUGAAAUUAUAGUACCUGUGAAGAUGCAGGUUACCCGCGACAGGACGGAAAGACCCCGUGGAGCUUUACUGCAGCCUGAUAUUGAAUGUUGGUACAGCUUGUACAGGAUAGGUAGGAGCCUUGGAAACCGGAGCGCCAGCUUCGGUGGAGGCAUCGGUGGGAUACUACCCUGGCUGUAUUGACCUUCUAACCCGCCGCCCUUAUCGGGCGGGGAGACAGUGUCAGGUGGGCAGUUUGACUGGGGCGGUCGCCUCCUAAAAGGUAACGGAGGCGCCCAAAGGUUCCCUCAGAAUGGUUGGAAAUCAUUCGCAGAGUGUAAAGGCACAAGGGAGCUUGACUGCGAGACCUACAAGUCGAGCAGGGACGAAAGUCGGGCUUAGUGAUCCGGUGGUUCCGCAUGGAAGGGCCAUCGCUCAACGGAUAAAAGCUACCCCGGGGAUAACAGGCUUAUCUCCCCCAAGAGUCCACAUCGACGGGGAGGUUUGGCACCUCGAUGUCGGCUCAUCGCAUCCUGGGGCUGUAGUCGGUCCCAAGGGUUGGGCUGUUCGCCCAUUAAAGCGGUACGCGAGCUGGGUUCAGAACGUCGUGAGACAGUUCGGUCCCUAUCCGUCGCGGGCGCAGGAAAUUUGAGAGGAGCUGUCCUUAGUACGAGAGGACCGGGAUGGACGCACCGCUGGUGUACCAGUUGUUCUGCCAAGGGCAUCGCUGGGUAGCUAUGUGCGGACGGGAUAAGUGCUGAAAGCAUCUAAGCAUGAAGCCCCCCUCAAGAUGAGAUUUCCCAUUCCGCAAGGAAGUAAGAUCCCUGAAAGAUGAUCAGGUUGAUAGGUCUGAGGUGGAAGUGUGGCGACACAUGGAGCUGACAGAUACUAAUCGAUCA